rnacentral:rRNA from 1 species
CACGUAGGAAUCUACCUGGUAGUGGGGGACAACAUGUGGAAACGCAUGCUAAUACCGCAUACGACCUAAGGGUGAAAGUGGGGGACCUUCGGGCCUCACGCUAUCGGAUGAGCCUGCGUAAGAUUAGCUAGUUGGUGAGGUAAGAGCUCACCAUGGCGACGAUCUCUAGCUGGUUUGAGAGGAUGAUCAGCCACACUGGGACUGAGACACGGCCCAGACUCCUACGGGAGGCAGCAGUGGGGAAUUUUCCGCAAUGGGCGAAAGCCUGACGGAGCAACGCCGCGUGAGGGAUGAAGGCCU